UCCGGCUUAUCACCGGCAGUCCCACUAGAGUGCCCAACUUAAUGAUGGCAACUAAAGACGAGGGUUGCGCUCGUUGCGGGACUUAACCCAACAUCUCACGACACGAGCUGACGACAGCCAUGCAGCACCUGUGUUACGGUUCUCUUUCGAGCACUAAGCCAUCUCUGGCAAAUUCCGUACAUGUCAAAGGUGGGUAAGGUUUUUCGCGUUGCAUCGAAUUAAGCAACACGCUCCGCUGCUUGUGCGGGCCCCCGUCAAUUCCUUUGAGUUUCAACCUUGCGGUCGUACUCCCCAGGCGGGGUACUUCCUGCGUUAGCGACGGCACCCAGAGGGUCGCUCCCCCAGGCACCUAGUACCCAUCGUUUACGGCGUGGACUAC
rnacentral:misc_RNA from 1 species